UACACACCGCCCGUCACACCAUGAGAGUUGGUAAUACCAGAAGCACGUAUCUUAACCGUAAGGAGAGAGCGUACCAAGGUAGGAUUAGCGAUUAGGGUGAAGUCGUAACAAGGUAUCCGUACGGGAACGUGCGGAUGGAUCACCUCCUUUCUAUGGAGUAAACUGUAGAUUAGAGAAAAGCUGAGCGAAUCGAUAAAACAGCUUUUGAUUAUAUCUCGUUCUAUCUAGUUUUCAGAGAUUGUUAUCGCGCCAUAUAGGCGCAACAAUUUUCUGAAAAAUCGAUCUUUGAAAACUGAAUAUUAGAUGAAAAUAGACAUUUUAUUUUUCUUACGUUUCAAUAUAUAAAUAUAAACGUAGUAGUAACUUUAAAAUUACUAAGAAAACUAAAAUUUCAUUAAUUUUUUAUAGAUUAUCUAUAACAAUAGGAUUUCUUUUUAAGAAAGUAUAGUAAGGGCAUAUGGUGAAUGCCUUGGAAAAUGGAGCCGACGAAGGACGUGACUACCUGCGAAAAGUUUCGGGGAGCUGGAAGUAAGCUAUGAUCCGGAAAUGUCCGAAUGGGGAAACCUGCUAUGAUUAAUCUCAUAGCGUCCAUAACUGAAUACAUAGGUUAUGUGAUGGGAACCCGGGGAACUGAAACAUCUUAGUACCCGGAGGAAAAGAAAACGAAUGUGAUUCUGUAAGUAGCGGCGAGCGAAAGCGGAACAGGCCAAACCGGUCUACGGGCCGGGGUUGUAGGACUCAUGUUAGAGUUACAAAUCUAGUGUAUAGCAGAAGCUGUUGGGAAGCAGCGGCGUAGAGGGUGAUACCCCCGUAUGCGAAAUGCACUAGACUCGAGUGAGUAUCCUGAGUACGGCGGGGCACGUGAAACCCUGUCGGAAUCUACCCAGACCACUGGGUAAGCCUAAAUACUACCAUUUUACCGAUAGUGAACCAGUAC
rnacentral:sRNA from 1 species